UGGGGAAUAUUGCACAAUGGGCGCAAGCCUGAUGCAGCCAUGCCGCGUGUAUAAAGAAGGCCUUCGGGUUGUAAAGUACUUUCAGCGGGGAGGAAGGCGAUAAGGUUAAUAACCUUGUCGAUUGACGUUACCCGCAGAAGAAGCACCGGCUAACUCCGUGCCAGCAGCCGCGGUAAUACGGAGGGUGCAAGCGUUAAUCGGAAUUACUGGGCGUAAAGCGCACGCAGGCGGUCUGUCAAGUCGGAUGUGAAAUCCCCGGGCUCAACCUGGGAACUGCAUUCGAAACUGGCAGGCUAGAGUCUUGUAGAGGGGGGUAGAAUUCCAGGUGUAGCGGUGAAAUGCGUAGAGAUCUGGAGGAAUACCGGUGGCGAAGGCGGCCCCCUGGACAAAGACUGACGCUCAGGUGCGAAAGCGUGGGGAGCAAACA
rnacentral:rRNA from 1 species